GACGUAGGUGGCAAGCGUUGUCCGGAGUUAUUGGGCGUAAAGCGCGCGCAGGCGGUUCGCUAAGUCCAUGGUGAAAGCGCUCGGCUUAACUGAGCGAGUGCCGUGGGGACUGGCGGGCUGGAGGGGAGCAGAGGCGAGUGGAAUUCCGGGUGUAGUGGUGAAAUGCGUAGAGAUCCGGAGGAACACCAGUGGCGAAGGCGGCUUCCUGGUCUGCGACUGACGCUGUGGCGCGAAAGCUAGGGGAGCAAACGGG
rnacentral:rRNA from 1 species